AUCUUUGUCUAUGCUACCAAGGGCUAGGUGAUCUACAUGCCCCCUGGCACAUGGAAGGUACUCAUUAAACAUUUAUUGAGAGAAGGAAUGGAUACAUUUGGGCUACACAAGUAGCCUGUGAAUCUAGUUUUGUAAACUCCAUUAUACAGCAAAGGUAUCUAGUUUACCCAAGAUCACGUUCUAGUGUAAGAAUUAGGAGCACGAACCCUGAAGCCAGAGGACACCCUACUCCCUGCCUCAUUACUAUGUGAAGAGCAUCCUCACCGGGAGUCAAUUCCAUCUCAAGAAACCACUUUCUUUGCAUAUCCGUAAGAAGCAAUUCUUCAUCCAUUCAAGUCCUACCGUGAGAUUGCAACAAUCAAGUCACAUCUUCAGGUUCCACUUCUAAUUCCAGUUCUCUUGCUAUUUUCACCACAUCUGCAGUUACUUUCUCCACUAAAGUCUGGAACCCUUCAAAACCACCCAUGAAGUUUGAUAUCAGCUUCUUUCAAGCUCCUGUUAAUAUUGCUUUUUGACCUUCUAGGAGAUGUGAAUGUUCU
rnacentral:lncRNA from 1 species